AUUGAACGCUGGCGGCAGGCCUAACACAUGCAAGUCGAGCGGAGCGGCGGACGGGUGGUUAAUGCCUAGGAAUCUACCUGGUAGUAGGGUAUAACGUCCGGACACGGGCGCUAAUACCGCAUACUAGCAGAUGAGCCUCGGUGGGAUUAGCUAGUUGGUGGGGUAAAGGCCUACCAAGGCGACGAUGCGUAACUGGUCUGAGAGUAUGAUCAGUCACACUGGAACGGAGACACGGUCCAGACUCCUACGGGAGGCAGCAGUGGGGAAUGUUGGGCAAGGGGCGAAAGGCUGAUCGAGCAAUGCCGCGUGAGUGAAGAAGGUUUUCGGAUUGUAAAGCGCUUUAAGUAGUGAGGCGUUACCAACAGAAUAAGCACCGGCUAACUUCGUGCCAGCAGCCGCGGUAAUUC
rnacentral:rRNA from 1 species